GCCAAUCAAACUGAGAGAUAGCUCGUUCUCCCCGAAAUGUUUUUAGGAACAGCCUCGGAUUUUAGAAGUGUACUAGAGGUAGAGCUACUGAUUGGGCUAGGGGGCUUCACCGCCUACCAAACCCUGACAAACUCCGAAUGCUAGUACAUAUCUCCGGGAGUGAGGCUGUGGGCGCUAAGGUCCAUGGCCGAGAGGGAAAUAACCCAGAAUAGCAGCUAAGGUCCCCAAUACAUGGUUAAGUUAGACAAACGAUGUGAAAUUUCUAUAACAGCCAGGAUGUUUGCUUGGAAGCAGCAAUUCAUUUAAAGAGUGCGUAACAGCUCACUGGUCGAGAGAUUCUGCGCGGAAAAUAAUCGGGUAUUAAACCAUGAACCGAAGCUCUAUGAUCGCCCUUAGAGGGAUGAUCGGUAGGGGAGCAUUCUAAUGGCAUCGAAGGUGUGCGGCGACGCAUGCUGGAGCGAUUAGAAAAGAAAAUGUAGGCAUAAGUAACGAUAAAUAAGGUGAAAAACCUUAUCGCCGAAAGUCUAAGGGUUCCUGAUCAACGUUAAUCGGAUCAGGGUUAGCCCGGUCCUUAGUCAAACCCGAAAGGGGUAGACGAUGGAAAGCAGGUUAAUAUUCCUGCGCCUGCUAUACAAUGAAAGUGACGGAGCAUGUUAGCUGCCUAGUCUGACGGAUUAGACGAGUGGAACCUUCGGGUGAAGCGUAGCAGUGAGAGUGCUUCCAAGAAAAGCGAGUAUAGCAGCCGGUACCGCAAACCGACACAGGUAGACGGGAUGAGUAUUCUAAGGCGCUCGGGUGAGCCGUGGAGAAGGAACUAGGCAAAUUGACGCUGUAACUUCGGGAUAAAGCGUACCACAGCGAUGUGGUCUCAGUAAAAUGGUUCAACCAACUGUUUAACAAAAACAUAGGGCCCUGCAAAAUCGAAAGAUGACGUAUA
rnacentral:rRNA from 1 species